UGAAGUGUCUCUUUAAAGUUGCACGCUUGCACAUGCUGGGAGGAUAUGGAAGAGGACAGCAAGCACAUGGAGACACCAUCUGUUGUUGGGCAACAAAGCAGCAAAAAAAGAAGUGCCAAUGUGGAGACACACACACACACACACACACACACACACACACACGACAUGAGGCAAAUGGCAAACCAAUAGCAGGCACAGACCGUAUCAACACUGUGAGCAAGCAUUGUUCUGAGAGUGAGAAAUUCAGCAACAUGAAAACAGUCACGAUCAGCUCAAAAGACGGAACGAUCGUAACAAAUGUAAACCCAAUGAGAAUGAACUGACCCAGCACUUAUAUACUACUAAUGCAUUACUUAAAAUCACUUCAACCCUAGACUUCAUUGUUCAGUUAGCAUUAUUCUAUUCUUUCGAGCUGCCAGACUUUAUUCUCCUUGACAAGCUAACGUUGCUCAACUGCGUCAUGCCUCCACACGCUCAGAUGAUUUGAUAUCAGUUCGGGGUGACUUUCAUUUUCCAUUAGCAAAGAAAAUGUCGCAUUGUAUACUGAGGGCUACAGAUAAGGCGCUAAAUCACCCCGGGCUGUACAUUAAAUUAAUUGUAAUAACUGAGGUAAAUGUUAGGUUUCUCAUUCAUGAAGAAAUUACCUGCAAAGGUUGCAGCAAAGACGAACGACAGCGUUGAUGCUAUCACAGACUGGAGAAGCGAGAAAGGUGUCGCACUGAAGCAGGACCGAAUCUUUGAAGACUCCGGCCAUGACGUCUUUCCUGCUGAAGCCGUCUCCUGAUGGAAAACAGCAUUCCAAUCUGAAGGGAGAGUCCCUCUCAUCAUCUCCCAACUCUUCUUGUGACAAAGACGCUCGCCGGAGAUCUUUCUUUACUGAGAACUUUAGUCCUAUUAUGGAGCUGGCAGAUCUGCCUCAGAUCCCUUUGUUCUGCAGAAUCAGCGCUUCUUUCUUGUCUUGGCUCUUAAAGGAAACACGUGAUUGACUGUAAAGAGCUUGGGAACUGUCCGUGUAUGUGAUGAAUGAUUAAAGACAUCU
ensembl:lncRNA